CAUAUCUCAAAAAUGCUGCAGUAAAAGGGUUUGAUAUGAGGUGUGCAUAUAGUAUGGGACAUCCCUUAUAGGAACAUACCAUUGUUUUUAUCUACUUAUUAGAAAUGGGAUCUUUAUAGCCCUUUAAAAUAUAAUAAUGUCCCAUAUCUCGAAAAUUCUGCAGUAAAAUGGUUUGAUAUGAGGUGUGCAUAUAGUAUGGGAUGUCCCUGAUAAGAACUGACUUUUGUUUUUUUCUACUUAUUAGAAAUGGGAUCUUUACAGCCCUUUAAAGUGUAAAAAUGUCUCGUAUCUUAAAAAUGCUGCAGUAAAAUGGUUUCAUAUGAAGGGUGCAUAUAGUAUGGGAGGUCCCUGAUAAGAACUGACUAUUGUUUUUUUCUACUUAUUAGAAAUGUUGUCUUUAUAGCCCUCUAAAUUGCCACAUGGACCCAUAUCUCAAAAAUGCUGCAGUAAAAUGGUUUGAUAUGAUUUGUGCAUAUAGUAUGGAAUGUCCUUUAUAAGAUCUGACCAUUGUUUUUUUCUACUUAUUAGAAAUGGGAUCUUCACAGCCCGUUAAAGUGUAAUAAUUUCCCAUUUCUGGAAAAAGCUGCAGUAAAAUGGUUUGAUAUGAGAUGUGCUCAUAGUAUGGGACGUCACUGAUGAGAACUGACUAUUAUUUUUUUCUACUUAUUAGAAAUGGGGUCUUUAUAGCACUCUAAAUUGCCAUAUGGACCCAUAUCUCAAACAUGCUGCAGUAAAAUGCUUUGAUAUGAGGUGUGCAUAUAGUAUGGCAUGUGCUUUAUAAGAACUGACCAUUGUUUUUUUCUACUUAUUAUAAAUGGUGUCUUUAUAGCCAUCGAAAUCACCAUUUGGACCCAUAUGUCAAAAAUGCUGCAGUAAAAGGUUUUGAUAUGAGGUGUGCAUAUAGUAUGGGAAAUCCCUUAUAGGAACAGACUAUUGUUUUUUUCUACUUAUUAGAAAUGGUGUCUUUAUAGCCCUUUAAAUCAUUGUAUUGUCCCAUAUAUUAAAAAUGCUGCAGUAAAAUGGUUUCAUAUGAAGUGUGCAUAUAGUAUGGGAUGUCCCUGAUAAGAACUGACUAUUGUUUUUUUCUACUUAUUAGAAAUGGUGUCUUUAUCGCCCUCUAAAUCAUUGUAUUGUCCCAUAUCUCAAAAAUGCUGCAGUAAAAUGGUUUCAUAUGAAGGGUGCAAAUAGUAUGUGAUGUCCCUGAUAAGAACUGACCUUUGUUUUUUUCUACUUAUUAGAAAUGUUGACUUUAUAGCCCUCUAAAUCGCGAUAUGGACGCAUAUCUCAAAAAUGCUGCAGUAAAAUGGUUUGAUAUGAGGUUUGCAUAUAGUUUGGGAUGUCCCUUAUAUGAACUGACCUUUGUUUUUUUUCUACUUAUUAGAAAUAGGGUUGUGAUGAGUGGGGCGGGGCCGCGAGCCAUGAGAACGGAAUGAGGCCAGUGGAGUGACUGGAAAUGAGCGACGCCUGCUCCACUCACCGGUCUCGCGUCCCGCGGUGGAGAUGGAAGGAUACAAAAGAGGGUGCGACGACAGUGAACAACGAGAGAGGGCCAGGCCAGGCCAUGAUUUUAGUUUGUGUUUGGUUUUUGUUUGUAAGCGACAGUCGUCCGUGAAGGGCUGUCGCAGUGUUUUGUGUUUAUUUUGUUAUUAAAAGCCUUAUUUGAUUGAUG